rnacentral:tRNA from 1 species
GCCGCUGUAGCUCAGUUGGUAGAGCAAAGGACUGAAAAUCCUUGUGUCGUCAGUUCGAUUCUGACCGGUGGCA